GAUUUUGGAAUAUUUGCAUAUACAUCAUGAGAUUAUGCUGAUGCCUUAGGUGAUCUCAUUGUGUGUGAAGGUGACUUGGCAACUAAAAAGUCAUCUGCGGACAUCAGAAGUUUCCACGUUUUGCAUACUUACUUGAAAGCAACUCCUAUUAAUUCAAUAACAGUGGAGGACAUCAGUAUGCAAAGUGGGGGGCAUGUUCAGGCAAGGCAUCUUUUUGAAUGGCAAGGCCAAACUCAUCUGUCAAAGAAGAAGGCCCAGGUCAGUUCCCAGGAAGCACUUUGGAGGCAGAGAGAAGCACAGAGAGCAGGAACAGCAUGGAGAGGCAGCUACAAAAGAUCAGGGAAAUGUACGUAGUUGACAGAACCAUGUUCCCCUGUCCUGUGUCCUCAGAGUUGUUGGACUACAAUAUCCAUCACCCAUCAUCAGUGAUAUAUGGGAUAGUGGGAUUUCUAGAUAAACACAGUCAAAAGGCAUGAAGGUUAGGGUCAAUUGGCACAGACAAUUUUUAAAAGAUAUGGAGCAAGUAAUAUGCCAGGUGUGAGCUACGUACCCACAUAACCAUUUGGUGCAUACUCAGUCAUC